UCUGGUGCCCAUAGCGGCGGGGAAACACCCGUUCCCAUUCCGAACACGGAAGUUAAGCCCGCCAGCGCCGAUGGUAGUGGUCUGGCGACGGACCGCGAGAGUAGGUCGGUGCCAGGC
rnacentral:rRNA from 2 species